rnacentral:rRNA from 1 species
UGGGGGGAGCAAGCGUUGUUCGGAUUUACUGGGCGUAAAGGGCGCGUAGGCGGCCAGCGCAAGUCAGUUGUGAAAUCUCCGGGCUUAACUCGGAACGGUCAACUGAUACUGCGCGGCUAGAGUGCAGAAGGGGCAACUGGAAUUCUCGGUGUAGCGGUGAAAUGCGUAGAUAUCGAGAGGAGCACCUGCGGCGAAGGCGGGUUGCUGGGCUGACACUGACGCUGAGGCGCGAAAGCCAGGGGAGCGAACGGGAUUAGAUACCCCGGUAGUCCUGGCCUUAAACGAUGGAUGCUUGGUGUCUGGAGUUCUAUAGUCUCCGGGUGCCGCAGCUAACGCGUUAAGCAUCCCGCCUGGGGAGUACGGUCGCAAGACUG